GAAAAAGUGUGAAAAAUCGAGGAAAACAAGUGAAAAAGGUGGUGAAUCCUCCGCUAAGGGCAAAGAAAUUGUACCCGAGGAUCGGUAGUCAGAGUACUUUAAAAAUUCAACUCCCGAAAUAGCUCAAUAUAGGCUGUAGAUAGCUUAUAUCGUCGAAGGCUACA